ensembl:lncRNA
CAACUGCCCUGUUUGCAAAUGCUGACACUGUUAUCCAAAGCAACUUACAAUUAUCCCUGAAUAUAAGUAAAGCAACCGAGAGUUAAGGGCCUUGCUCAGCGAGUCAAACAUUGGUAACAGGGCAGUUGUGGGGCUGAUUACUAGCGGCAUAGCUUAAGCACUGAGCUACCACUGCCCCCUCAAGCAAAUGAACUCUGCAGGCAACAUUCUUUGCUGUUGGUGGCUCCUUUUGACGUGAAGCUGAGCUAUGAGGGAAGUUCUGGUCCGACAGGAGAACCAGGAUUGCCGGGAUUGCCGGGAGGUCCGGGAGGUCCGGGAGGUCCGGGAGGUCCGGGAAGGCCCACAGUGCCAGGAGGACCGCGAGAACCAGGAAUACCUGGAAGACCGCCCCGUCCAGGAAUGCCCACAGGGCCAGGAGGACCACGAGGACAGUGCAGCAUAACUUCAUGGAGAUCUGAAUACGUGCUCCCUUGUCUGCUUUCACACACCAAUCCUGGACAGAUUGGCACUGUCCAGUUUAUCUGCUCUCCAUUACUUUGCUGAUACUUUGAAGCUGCAACAUCAUAGAAAAAGUGCAUCUUUAUUUAAAUGUCUUCCUUCCUUUUAGGCCGCUACUAUUCACCCCUUUGUCCAAAAUUAAUUAUUUGCAAACACAAACACAACCUUUGUAUGUUUCAGUACUAAUAAAUGACUUACUGUGAAUUACGUUUUGAAUGAGUAUGAUGAUCAGUAAGAGACUGUUGCAGAUCAACAAUAUCAUCUGUAGUUUGUUGCCCACCAGUGAUCCUGUAGGACAGAUGGACAAACGUGGAGGAUCUGAAAGAAAAUAAGUUAUCAGCAUCACAAGAAAGAAUACAGCUGCCCAUUUGUGUAGCAAAGAUAUAAUGGUUUACUCUGAAAAUUGUAAUGAUUAUUAUAUGCUGUGAAACAAUGAGGUGCUUAAUCCUAAAUUGUCUUACCACGUGCUGUGCGUGUGUUCCUCACUAAAGGAGGCUGGUGUAGAGUCUGGUACACAUCCUCAGUCAUUCUGCUCCUGUGUAUCAGAUUCUAAUAGACAUUAAGACAAAUAGCACCCUUAUUAUCCUUGUUUGUUAACAGCCCACACCAGUGCACAGUGAAGAGUCAGGAGUGCUUACACACCCAGUUUGGGGUCUUGGUUAUGCCUAGGGCUGAGAUUGUGAAAGGAAAGAGAAUAAGGAACUUCUCUGUAUUUCCUUAAAAGUUCUUCUGUUUUUGCAUGGCUAUUUCAAAGCCUUGCAUACAGUAAUAAAAUCACCCUAAUUCACACAUAGAAACUUGAGACUUUCUUGCUAGUUGAAGACCAUUUUUUUGGCCAGGGGUCUGAAAACUGGGCUGUGG